rnacentral:other from 1 species
CAAACCCUGCCCGGUUCGUGCAAGCUCUUCGGUGCGCGUGAACCAAUAUUUACAAAAAGGGAGUGACUAUUCGUGGGGCGGUGUGCCAGCCCGGCUUGACCGGGACGCCUAAUGCCCCAGAGGUUGCCCCCACCUGGUUACCCAGGUUCAUAUGCCCAGAGCGGACGGCCAGGGCGGGGCCCCA